rnacentral:rRNA from 1 species
AGUCACUGACAUUAGAUACCCGCGUAGUCCUAACUGUAAACGAUGCGGACUUGGUGUUGGGGUGGCUUUGAGCUGCUUCAGUGCCGAAGGGAAGCUGUUAAGUCCGCCGCCUGGGAAGUACGGUCGCAAGACUGAAACUUAAAGGAAUUGGCGGGGAGCACCACAACACGUGGAGCCUGCGGUUUAAUUGGAUUCAACGCCGGACAUCUCACCAGAGGCGACAGCUGUAUGAUAGCCAGGUUGAUGACUUUGCUUGACUAGCUG